GCCGGCAGCUAGCUCUCUGCAACUCUCACAUGGUCACCCACUGAAGCUAAGCAGGGCUGCGCCCGGUCAGUACCUGGAUGGAAGACCACAUGGGAAAGCUAGGUUGCUGCCGGAA
rfam:Danio rerio chromosome 6, GRCz11 reference primary assembly.